AACGAACGCUGGCGGCAUGCCUAACACAUGCAAGUCGAACGAUUGCCUUCGGGCGAUAGUGGCGCACGGGUGCGUAACGCGUGGGAAUCUGCCCUUAGGUUCGGAAUAACAGCUGGAAACGGCUGCUAAUACCGGAUGAUAUCGCGAGAUCAAAGAUUUAUCGCCUGAGGAUGAGCCCGCGUUGGAUUAGGUAGUUGGUGGGGUAAAGGCCUACCAAGCCGACGAUCCAUAGCUGGUCUGAGAGGAUGAUCAGCCACACUGGGACUGAGACACGGCCCAGACUCCUAUGGGAGGCAGCAGUGGGGAAUAUUGGACAAUGGGCGCAAGCCUGAUCCAGCAAUGCCGCGUGAGUGAUGAAGGCCCUAGGGUUGUAAAGCUCUUUUACCCGGGAAGAUAAUGACUGUACCGGGAGAAUAAGCCCCGGCUAACUCCGUG
rnacentral:rRNA from 1 species